rnacentral:rRNA from 1 species
UACGUAGGGACCGAGCGUUGUCCGGAAUCAUUGGGCGUAAAGAGCGUGUAGGCGGCCACUUAAGUCCUGCGUGAAAUCUUGCGGCUCAACCGCAAGCGGUCGUGGGAAACUGGGUGGCUAGAGUGCGGGAGAGGAGAGUGGAAUUCCUGGUGUAGCGGUGGAAUGCGCAGAUAUCAGGAAGAACACCCGUGGCGAAGGCGGCUCUCUGGAACGCAACUGACGCUAAGACGCGAAAGCGUGGGGAGCAAACAGG